rnacentral:lncRNA from 1 species
UUUUACAUUUGGGUUUGGGUCUAGUGUUAACCGUUUAGGGUCUAGUGUUUAUAAUUGGGCAUAUAUUUACUAUUUAGGAGUUGUGGGUGGAGCUAGAGUCUUAUACUAUUACACUGAUAUGGAAUACAUUAUUUAUUGAAAAUUCUUCUAUUUUAUCUAUAUUAGGGUUUAGGAUUUAUUAUUUAAAAGUUGGGCUUGGGGUAGUAUUUAGUAUUUAAAGAUUGUGGGUAUGGUUUGAAUCAUAUACUACUUCGACGAUAUGGAAUAUAACACUUAAUACAUAUGUACAUGGUUAACAAACGUGUAACGUGGAUGUCUCCUUCUUUCAUAUAGAAUAGCUUUCAGUCACUCUUGACCAUAUAUUAGUUGUGAACAACUUGUGAUACGUCAUGUUCACCGGGUAAUUGCAAAAGAGAAUGAUAUAACCGGUUAAUUUUGGAUGUAAAUAUUAGAUUCUUCAUUAUGUACCAGAAUCAAUGUCUCUAUUUAAUUUCACUUUCAAAUUUGGUUAGAUAGAAAAUAAGCCUUAUAAUCUUGUUUUUAAUUUUUAUAAAAAAAAUUGGAUAUAGAUAUGUCAAAUUUU